GGAUAUACAGAGAGAAUCAGGAAAACUAUCUGAGAGAGAAAAUAGGCAGAUGUUCAAAACUACAGACAGGAACUCUGGAAAGAGAGAAAAGAAUAGGAGGGACUUCUACAUCCUCAUGAAAAGUGUCUCGACAGAAAGGAACUAAGGAUAAGAAAAUUUGUCUUAUACCAACUUAUAACUGGCCCAGUAUUGUAGUGCUGGACCGGUGCAGCUGUGUUGGGCAGGAAAAGGCAAUAAUGAAUAGACAUGAGGAGACAUGAACAUUUACGGAAUCGCUGUGGUUUUCAGAAUCCAUCAUCAUGCAGAAUUAAUUAUAUUUCUCCAUCAUUGCUAUAUUGGACCUCUGUGAACAUUUUAGUCACCUGAACACUGACAUGAAAACUCAUCUUUCCUGGAAUUGCCAUGUUGGCCAGCUGUGGAGUAGCCAGCGAGAGCAACUUCCAAUUACAGGAACUGGAAGGAAGUAUCCUACUCACUUGGCCAAAGCCUCAGAAGGUCGCAUAUACACGUGAGCAUCACCCGCUGACUGCACACAGCCUGUGA
rnacentral:lncRNA from 1 species